UUCAAUUGUUUACCCCACUAAGGAUGUCACGAGAACCGGUACUUCGGUACCAAGUCAGUCCAAAAUUCUGAAAACGUGACCGUACUUCUUUUUCUACAGU